AUUGAACGCUGGCGGCAGGCCUAACACAUGCAAGUCGAACGAGUGGCGGACGGGUGAGUAAUGUCUGGGGAACUGCCUGAUGGAGCGGGAUAACUACUGGAAACGGUAGCUAAUACCGCAUACCAUCCGAUGUUCCCAGAUGGGAUUAGCUAGUUGGUGGGGGAACGUCUCACCAAGGCGACGAUCCCUCGCUGGUCUGCGAGGGUGACCCGCCCAACAGGAGCUGAGACACGGUCCAGACCGCGACGGGAGGCAGCAGUGGGGAAUGUUGCCCAAUGGGCGCAAGCCUGGUGCAGCCAUGCCGGGUGUAUGAAUGAGGCCUUCGGGUUGUAAAGUACUUUCCGCGGGGAGGCGUUACCCGCAGAAAAAGCCCCGGGUAACUUCGUGGCAGCAGCCGCGGUAAUAC
rnacentral:rRNA from 1 species